rnacentral:rRNA from 1 species
GCGUUGUCCGGAAUUACUGGGCGUAAAGCGCGCGCAGGCGGUUUGGCGCAUCGGCGGUGAAAGCCCCCCGCUUAACGGGGGAGGGGCCGUCGAGAUGGCCAGACUGGAGGCAGGGAGAGGGCGGUGGAAUUCCGGGUGUAGUGGUGAAAUGCGCAGAGAUCCGGAGGAACACCAGUGGCGAAGGCGGCCGCCUGGACCUGACCUGACGCUGAGGCGCGAAGGCGCG